rnacentral:rRNA from 1 species
UAGGGAGCAAGCGUUGUCCGGAUUUACUGGGUGUAAAGGGUGCGUAGGCGGAUUGGCAAGUCAGAAGUGAAAUCCAUGGGCUUAACCCAUGAACUGCUUUUGAAACUGUUAGUCUUGAGUGGAGUAGAGGUAGGCGGAAUUCCCGGUGUAGCGGUGAAAUGCGUAGAGAUCGGGAGGAACACCAGUGGCGAAGGCGGCCUACUGGGCUUUAACUGACGCUGAGGCACGAAAGUGUGGGUAGC